rnacentral:misc_RNA from 1 species
GCUCAAUGAUAAAUUUUAAAUAGCCGCGGAAUUUUAACCGUGCUAAGGUAGCAUAAUCAUUAGCCUCUUAAUUAGAGGCUUGUAUGAAAGGUAAGACAUUUUAACUUCUUUUUUAAUUCCUUUUUUUCUAAUUUAAAUUAAGAGUUAAAAUGCUCUUAUUUGCAAAAAAGACGAUAAGACCCUUUUGAACUUUACUGAAGUUUAGCUGGGGCAGCUAAAUAAAUAAUAUCUUAUUUUUUUCCUUUUUUUUUAAAUGACCCAAUAGUAUUGAUUUUCUGAACAAGUUACCAUAGGGAUAACAGCGUAAUAUCUUUUUAAAGCUCUUAUUUAAAAAGGGGAUUGCGACCUCGAUGUUGAAUUAAUGUAACUUUUAUAAUGCAAUAAUUUUACAAGUAGGUCUGUUCGACCUUUAAUACAUUACAUGAUUUGAGUUCAAAUCGGUGUAAACCAGAUUGGUUUCUAUCUUUUUUUUAUACUUUUAUUUAGUACGAAAGGACCAAUAAAUUUAUUUUCAAUAUUCUUAUGGCAGAAAAAUGCGUUAGAUUUAGAAUCUACCCAUUUCUAAAUUUCUCCUCUUUUAAAUUCAAUU